CAAGAAGUGCCUGGCCCCUCCGGUAGGGGGGCUAGGACGCUAAGCCGCCCGGUGGAUGGCUCGGCUCGGGGCGCCGACGAAGGGCGUGGC
rnacentral:rRNA from 1 species